UUGAUAAUCUAUCUGUCAGGCUGA
rnacentral:siRNA from 1 species